rnacentral:rRNA from 1 species
ACUCCUACGGGAGGCAGCAGUGGGGAAUAUUGCACAAUGGGCGCAAGCCUGAUGCAGCGACGCCGCGUGAGGGAUGACGGCCUUCGGGUUGUAAACCUCUGUUAGCAUCGAAGAAGCGAAAGUGACGGUAGGUGCAGAGAAAGCGCCGGCUAACUACGUGCCAGCAGCCGCGGUAAUACGUAGGGCGCGAGCGUUGUCCGGAAUUAUUGGGCGUAAAGAGCUUGUAGGCGGUUGGUCGCGUCUGCUGUGAAAGGCUGGGGCUUAACCCUGGUUUUGCAGUGGGUACGGGCUAACUAGAGUGCAGUAGGGGAGACUGGAAUUCCUGGUGUAGCGGUGGAAUGCGCAGAUAUCAGGAGGAACACCGAUGGCGAAGGCAGGUCUCUGGGCUGUAACUGACGCUGAGAAGCGAAAGCAUGGGGAGCGAACAGGAUUAGAUACCCUGGUAGCUACGAG